UGGUUCUGGCAUNGAUGAAGAACGCAGCGAAAUGCGAUAAGUAGUGUGAAUUGCAGAAUUCAGUGAAUCAUCGAAUCUUUGAACGCACAUUGCGCCCUGUGGUAUUCCGCAGGGCAUGCCUGUUCGAGCGUCAUUCAACCUCCUCAAGCUCUGCUUGGUGUUGGGCGUUUGUCCCGCCUACUCGGCGCAGACUCGCCUUAAAAAUAUUGGCAGCCGUCACCCUGGCUUCGAGCGCAGCACAUCCGCGCCCGGUACCUUAGUGGCGGCUUCCAGAAGCAUACCCCCUCGGUUGACCUCGGAUCAGGUAGGGAUACCCGCUGA
rnacentral:misc_RNA from 1 species